ensembl:lncRNA
AAACCACCUUGCAGAUGAUGCAAGGAAACCAGAAGCACAGGUCUAGGAGGUCUGUGGGGUCCUGGGCCACACCACUGCCUUCCCCUCGGGGACCGUGUGUCUGGAAGGAAGAAACACCAGCAGCUCUGACCUGAGCAGAGCUUCAGGGAAGAUGCAGCGGCUCCUGCUCUGCUUGGCCUUUCUUCUGCACCCCAAGCCUGGGACAGGUCUUUAUGUAUUACAGGUAGCAUGGCACAGAGGUACCCCCUUCUUAGAAGACACCACCCCUGGGGCACAGAAUGCUGCUUAGGUUGAUUGGUCUCUCACAUCAUGGAUGAAGAGGAUCUCAGAUGCUUUCCAGCCACGGUCGGGCAGCUCUCAACAGAAUCAAGUCACUAGUCCUCUUCUGUGUGCAGGGAAACUUCUGGGACACAAAGGCCUUUGCCUUGAAUAGGGAGCAGGAAAAGAGAAGUCUUCAACUGGGUCACAAUUUCCCCUGAAAGUUUGUUGGGGCUCCAGUGACCUGAGAAAGUAAUUGUCAGUGGCAGAGCCUUGCUCUUCCCUUUUCCUUCUCUGGCAGCGCACUCCAGCCACUCAGGAGAGAGAGCUACUCAACCUGCCUUGAGACUUCUAGAAAGAAGUGGAAGCACCAGGGUCUCCACAGGGUGGCCAAGGGCGAGAGAUGAAGACAGGCAGGCUUCCCCUUUUCCUCUUGUGUGUCCUUUGAUUUGUUCCUGGUGUCCUCACCACAUCACACCUCACAACACACUUGUGUUUCAUUCGCCCUUGUCCAUGUCUUGCUAAGUAUAUAUGACUAAGGAAUCCAGGAAACAUAUUCAUUUAGAGAAACUGCAAUUCCAGAUGACUGAGCUCUAAUUCUGGAGACAAGCAAAUAGAGGAAAUAGGCUGCCACCAGCUUUCAUGCAUUGUCAGGAAAUUAUUGAAUUUGGCAGGUUUAGGAUUCUAGGUCACAAGCUCCAAGCACCCCUUCAUCACCCUGGGAUCCCAUUUCUGCUCCCAGCACUGACUCAGCGGUUGUCGAGGGGAUGGUAGUGCUGGCUGGGAUGACUCUUUCUUCCCCAUAUCACUGGCAGUGGUGGGCAGCCUCCUGGGCAGCUGGGUGAUGAAACCUAUCGCACCAGCAGGAGAAUGAGACUGUGAAUUCUGACCACCAGCCCCACCCUUCCUUCCUGUCUCUGGGGACGAAAGUCCGGCAGGAAGAAGCACCAGCAGCAACUCAUUGGGCAGGCUUCCGAGGAAGAUGCAGCCGCUCCUGCUCCUGGUGGCCUUUCUCCUACCCCCAGGGCUGGGGCUGGUGAGCGACCAUUCCAACCUCAGAGAUCCGACCCUUCUCACAGACCCUGGAGCCAGACUGCCUAGGCACUGCCUACCUCAGGAUCGCAGGGCAAGUUACUUGAAUUCACAGCUCCCAGGCUCCCCAAACAUAAAAUAGCAAUCAUUUCAAUGCCUUCCUCAUACACUUGCUAUGAGAAGCAAAUUAGUUGGUGUACAUAAAAUUCUUGACUUGCCCCUGGCACCUAGAAUGUGCUAUAUAAAUGUGCUCUCUAAAUUCAUUCUGCUGCCCAUGUGUCAGAGCCGAGGCCAUAAGGAGACAGCAAUAACAGUCCCAUCAGCUCACAUCUAGAAUCUCAAAACCAGUCCCCUGUUGGUCAUGAGCUGACCAUGAGCUGGACUCAGAGGGAUCUGGGAAGUUCCCUGAGAAAGAAAGUACCAGAGAAAUUCAGGGAGAGGCCACUCCAGAAGGCUCUGGAUUUGCCAAUCAGAGAGUAGAGCAUCUCUCCUCAAUAUGUGAGGCUGAAGCUGGCCAUGCCUGGAGCAAGGGUUCUUCUCCUCCUUUGGAGGAGUUGGGAGGAGCUGGGGUCUGGGAUGAGGAGUCAGCAGUGUUUCCUGAAGAACCCUGGAGCUCUCCCCCAAUGUGUGGAGCAGAUCGCAACUCUCACGCCCAACUCCUCUUUCCUCUGCAUCCUCUCAUCUGCCUCCACAUCCUCUAGCCUUUCUGGAGCUACCAAAUUGGUGGCACACCAGUGAGUCCACAAGCACAGAGAUAAGUACCGAAUGUUUCCUUCCAGGGGAGAUCAUCAGAGGCCAAGAGGCCAAGCCUCAUUCCCAUCCCUACAUGGCAUAUCUUCAGACCCAGACUCCAAAGGGUUUGGGCACUUGCUGAGGGUUCCUGGUGCAAGAAGACUUUGUGCUGACGGCAGCUCUCUGCUGGGGAAGAAGUAAAAUUCGAGGUCACUAUGUCCCCUGCCCUCCCAUCUCAAACACCCCACCUGUGCCUGCCUUCUCUGAGGGCUGUGCCUUAGGGCAGGAGGAGUGGGGAAGCCCAACUUCGCAUCUGUUCUCAUCACCCACACCGGUACACCAGAGGCCCCCUGGUGUGUCACCAUGAGGCCCAGGGCAUCGUAUCCUAUGAAAAUAGGAUGAGGAUUCCUCCAGCAGUCUUUACCACCAUUUCCAGCUUCCUGCCCUGGAUAACGAGAUCAAGGAGACACUUCAAACAGUGGGCUCAGACUAAGACCCUGCUUGUGACUGACUACUCUGGGGCAGAGGCCAGCUCCAAGGGUGUUGCCAUAGCCUUAAUAAAUGACCACAUCUAGAGUGUAAAUAACCUAUUUCUCAUUUGUUCAGUCAACAUCAUUCAGUACACAACAAAUAUAUGCCAGGACUGAGUCUGAGCAAAUCCAGGAAAAAGGGGUCUCUUCCUCAGGACAAAUGAAUCCCCUACAGUGUCCUGGAGAUCAGGAUGAGCUUCUUCCCUCCUCCAAGCCAUCUAAUCCCUCAUCUCCCCUCCCCUCAUGGCCUUGGGAAGGGAUGG